UACAGAGGUCCCAAGCGUUACUGAGAAUCACUGGGUUUAAAGGGUGCGUAGGUGGUCCGUUAAGUCAGUUGUGAAAUCCCCGGGCUCAACCCGGGAACUGCUUCUGAUACUGGCGGACUUGAGGCCAGUAGGGGUCACUAGAACUGACGGUGGAGCGGUGAAAUGCGUAGAUAUCGUCAGGAAUGCCGGUGGUGAAGACGGGUGACUGGGCUGGUUCUGACACUGAGGCACGAAAGCGUGGGGGGCGAACGGG
rnacentral:rRNA from 1 species